AAAGAGUUUUGCUCUGGCUCGAAAAUAAACAAAUUAAACUAUUUCUAUUAUACUAAUAUGCCAGCUAUAAGCCCACCAACAAUAAACUAAAUAACUAAAAGUAAAAGAAAAUUUUAAGAGUAUUAGGUAAUAAAAAAAUUCUAAAAUUAUUGACAACGCAAUAGAUAAUAUUUUAAAAAUAGUGAAAACUAGUAUAAGAAAUAGAAAAUAUAAACGGAAAAAGUUGUGCCAGCAUCUGCGGUUAAACAUCUUAUUUAAAGUUUAAUAAAUAAGUUAAAUGGAAAUUUUAAAAAGAUAAUUAAAUAAAUUAAAUAAAGGUCGAAUUUAUAAACCUAAUUACUAAACCAACUUCUCUUAUAAAAACCCCAUGAAAGUUAAAAACAGAACUAGGAUUAGAAACCCUACUACCUUUAACCAUAAAUAAAAUAGACUAAGGUAUUACGAGCAAUUAGCUUAAAACCUAAAGAGCAUGACGGCUUUCUAAACUUCCAGGGAAGCUUGUUACAGAAACGAUAAUCCGCGCUAAACCUCUCCUUCUUUAGAAAUAUUAACUAAAAAAUUAAUCAGCCUGUAUACCUCCGUCAAAAGUUAACCUUCUAAAAGAAAAUAAGUUAACCAAAGAAAAAUAUUCCAAAAUAUCAGGUCAAGGUGCAGCCUAUAAGAAGGUAAUAAUAAGCUACGAUAUAAAUAAUUAUUGGAAUCAACCAUAAAAAUGGGUGAUAAAACAGUACUUGGUAGUAAUAAAAUAUUAAAAUAAUUUUAUGAAAAACACAUAGAAAGUGUACAAAUCGCCCGGCAAUCCUUUCUCUCUCUAGAAAGGAUAAGUCGUAACAAAGUAGACGUACUGGAAAGUGCGUCUAAAAUAGU
rnacentral:ncRNA from 1 species